AGAACGAACGCUGGCGGCAGGCUUAACACAUGCAAGUCGAACGCUCCGCAAGGGGAGUGGCAGACGGGUGAGUAACGCGUGGGAACGUACCCCUCGGUUCGGAAUAACUCAGGGAAACUUGAGCUAAUACCGGAUACGGCCGAGAGGCGAAAGAUUUAUCGCCGAGGGAUCGGCCCGCGUCCGAUUAGCUAGUUGGUGAGGUAACGGCUCACCAAGGCGACGAUCGGUAGCUGGUCUGAGAGGAUGAUCAGCCACAUUGGGACUGAGACACGGCCCAAACUCCUACGGGAGGCAGCAGUGGGGAAUAUUGGACAAUGGGCGAAAGCCUGAUCCAGCCAUGCCGCGUGAGUGAUGAAGGCCUUAGGGUUGUAAAGCUCUUUCGUCAGGGACGAUAAUGACGGUACCUGAAGAAGAAGCCCCGGCUAACUUCGUGCCAGCAGCCG
rnacentral:rRNA from 1 species